GGGAUAUUGAAUCGGAUGGAUGUUUAGUUCACCUGAUAAGCUGAUACACCAUGGCCAACCGCUGAAGGUCACAUAUACCCGUCUGAAUUGUGGAUCGACAUCUCUGCCGUUGCUGUUAAUAAAAAGAUAAGUGGUAUCAUUUUAAAAGGUCAAAGAUAACGUAGGACAGUUUUGCUUAAAUAGAUAAUUGUGAUGUGCGAUUGUUGUUGACUUCCUUUGGUAACUGCUGUUGGAAUGCAGACAGACAACACUGUCCAUUCGACUUGAUUUAUAGAGCUAGGUCGUUUAAACAUUGUUGGAGCUCAAACUUGGGCAAGGCUCCUCAGUUUAUAGCGAGGGACACACUUUUUUGCCCGCAAGCGUAAACACACUGACGUGGGUCGAUUGUGCGAAAGCGAGUCCGAGUCAGCGUAAACAGUGUUAAAACGCUUUAGCUCUGAAAAUCAAGUUUAAUCGAUAAGGGUUCGUUCUGUUUUCCAACAGCAGUACUGUUUACCAAAGGCAGAAAGUAAGGUAUGACAUCAUCAUAUCUCUUUUUUCAGUGCUGCAGUAUAACGUAAACUCUGACAUUUUGUUGCAUAUGGGCGUAUUCUAAUUUACCUAUAUAUGCUAAUACGUGUGUAUGUUAUUUAUCUGCAACUAAUUUGGAAAAAAUAGCACAUGGUCAUUUGGAACACUUUACAAUUUAAUCAAUAUAUUUGGAUACAAAAUAUUGGCGAUGUAUUCUUUGUCUGUAUCCAAUAUAUGUCGUGGUGGUAUCUGUAACAUAAUGUUUGUUCAACAGCUGUCCGUGCAUUGGUCUAAGGGCAGGAACCCUACAUGAGCUCAGAGACACCAUGACCAACCGCUGAAGGUCACCUAUACCAGACUGAAGUAUGGACCGUCAUCUCUGCCAUUUUUGUGAAUAAAAAGAUAAGUGAUAUCAUUUUAAGCGAGGCUGUUUUCGGAGAAAACCCGAGCUAUUGUCAUAGCCAGCUCGUCCGCCGUCCGACGUCCGCCGUCCGCCGUAGGCGUCGUGCCUAAACCUUAACAUUGGCUCUAAAAUCAAAGUGCUUCCACCUACAACUUUGAAACUUCAUAUGUAGAUGCACCUUGAUAAGUUCUAUACGUCGCACCCAUUUUUGGGUUUCGAGAUCAAAGGUCAAGGUCACUGUGACCUCUAAUAUCAAACUUUAACAUCUGAAAUCAAAGUGCUUCCACCUACAACUUUGAAACUUUAUAUGUAGUUGCACCUUGAUGAGUUCUACAUGCCACACCCAUUUUUGGGUCACUAGGUCAAAGAUCAAGGUCACUGUGACCUCUAAUAUAAAACUUUAACAAAAACCUUAACAUUGCCUCUAAAAUCAAAGUGCUUCCACCUACAACUUUCAAACUUCAUAUGUAGAUGCACCUUGAUGUGUUCUACACGCCACACCCAUUUUGGGUCACUAGGUCAAAGGUCAAGGUCACUGUGACCUCUAAAAAAAAAUCUGACAAGCUUUCGCAGCCGAGCGUGGCACCCGUUAUGCGGUGCUCUAGUUAAAUGUCAAAGAUGACGUUAGACAGGUAUGCUUAAAGUGAUAAUUGCGAUGUGCGAUUGUUGUUGACUCCCUUUGGUAAGCAUUACUGCUGUUGGUAUGCAGACAGACAACACUGUCCAUUCGACUUGAUUUAUAGAGCUAUGACGUUUUAACAUCGUUGAAGCUCAAACUCGGGCAAGGCUCCUCAGUUUACAGCGAGGGACACACUUUUUUGCCCGCAAGCGUAAACACACUGACGUGGGUCGAUGGUGCGAAAGCGAGUCCGAGUCAGCGUAAACAUUGUUAAAACGCCUUAGCUCUGAAAAUCAAGUAUAAUCGAUAGCGUUUUCGUUCUGUUUUCCAACAGCAAUACUGUUUACCAAAGGCAUUAAGCAAGGUCUUACAUCAUCUUACCUCUUUUUUCAGUGCUGUAGUUUAACGUAAACUCUGACCUUUUGUUACAAAUUGUGUAUUAUAAUUUACCUAUAUUUGCUAAUACGUCUUUAUGUUUUUUAUCUGCAACUAAUUUGGAAAAAAUAUAGCAAAUGGUAAUUUGGAACACAAUUUAAUCAAUAUAUUUGGUCAAAAAUAUUUGCGACGUAUUCUUUGUCCGUAUCCAAUAAACGUCGUGGUGGUAUCUCUAACAUAUUUUUGUUCAACAGCUGUCCGUGCAUUGUGAUAAGGGCACGAACUCUACAUGGGCUCCGAUACACCCUGGUCAACCGCUGAAGGUCACCUAUACCAAACUAAAGUAUGGACCGUCAUCUCUGCCAUUGCUGUGAAUACAAAGAUAUGCGAUAUAAUGUUUUUAAAGGUCAAAGAUGACGUUAGACAGGUAAGUUUCCAGUCCGUGUCAGAUGGGACACUAACACGAUCCGGUUCCACUGCUGAAGAAGUAUGGCGCAACGUUUACGGAUUCCAUGAAGAUUAUUCAAUUUAGACGUUCCGUGGAGGCUGAACAUCGUUGCAUAUUAAAUAAAUUGGAGCGACUGAAUAA